GAAUGGUUCAAUAUGGCUUACAUUCAACUAUUAUUUCUUCGUAUAGACCAGCCAAAAAAACAAACAAAAUUUCGGUGGAAAACUACACAUGAUGUGUGGCUUUUGACCGAAGUAAUUUCCAUCGAGCCUUAUAGAUGGAAACAUGGCUCUCGGGAGCGAGGAGAUGCUUUCAGGAAUAUAGCAGUAAAUUUGACAGAGAUACCAAACUCCGGUUUCCCUGCAAGCCUUAACCAACGUUCAG